AAAGCAACUUUUAUUAGCUUUUUAUUUCAUUGAUAUGGACCAUCAAAGGCGUAUGAAGGAUAACGCAGAGACCUUUAGGAGCAGUUCCAGGAUGAUGUAAGGACAUGUCGACGUGAACGCAAUGCUCGAACGUGCACCGAAAGAGGGAACUCGCUCGCGCGAGCUAGACGAGUUAAUUUUAGUUUAAUCGACCGACCUGAUACCGAGCUCGCGUACGAGCGGCAAUGCACGUACGAGCGUGCACGACGGCGAGUUAUACAAAGUGUCACCGAACGGACGCAUCCCGAGGACAAAACGCGCCUUCGACGAUAACUACCGCGCGACCGGCCGGCAGAAAACUGCGUCUGAAAGAAUGUCAGUUGGCGGGGAACGGAAAAAUAUUACAAUAUAUAUUAUACUUAUGAACGAGCGUGUGCCAAUGCACUUGGCGUGGCAUUAAAUUUUCAAGUCUCGCAUUUGUGUAAAAGACGGGAAAAGCAGCUAAUUACAGAGGAUGGGCGUUACAAAGUAUACAUCUGCGAGGACGUGAUUGUACGAGUUGUGUUCCGUGCUCGUGGAAUCUGCUACAUACGCUGUAACAAGGAAGUGCCGAAUUAACGAACGAAUUAAUCUAAUAACAUCGCGCGAGACGACACCAACUGCCAACCUUCUCGGAAGUAGCAACGACAGAUACUCGCGAAGGGAACGAUCACAUCAGCAGAUCGUCGUCACCAUGGAAAAGCGUACACGAGUUUACUCGUUUGUCAGUCACAUAUGGCAUACAGCAAACGUAAACAAUCUCGUGGGAUACUACAAUCACAGGACAUAAUCUUUCUCGGUUCUUACGCAUCCUCUCCUCAAGGAGGCUCAAAGCAUCACUUUUAUCACUUUACUUGAAUCGUAUUAGAGGCUCUUAUUUAAUUCCAAAUUAUUUGCGGCUGUUUGAGCAUUAUUUAGGAAAGCCGAUCUCUGUGUGCAAUCAUCAGUAAUAGCUUAUCUUCUUUCUAUUGGGCACAUACGAUUUGAUUCUCAUACGUUUACUCCUAAUUAUUUAAAAAAUAAUGGUUUACUCUUUGUUAAAAAAGCUACUUCUGUAUCCUUAUACAAUGUUAUAUCCUCUUAAAAAUUAUCUCUAUCGCUGUACAUAAAUAUGUAAGAUGCAGAGCGACAAUGUUGCCACGACGUUGGUUCAUUCAAUAUGUCAAAUUCCUCCAGCAAAGAUAAUAUGAACACUGUAAUAAUUA